UAGGGAAUCUUCCGCAAUGGGCGAAAGCCUGACGGAGCAACGCCGCGUGAGUGAUGAAGGUCUUCGGAUCGUAAAACUCUGUUAUUAGGGAAGAACAAAUGUGUAAGUAACUAUGCACGUCUUGACGGUACCUAAUCAGAAAGCCACGGCUAACUACGUGCCAGCAGCCGCGGUAAUACGUAGGUGGCAAGCGUUAUCCGGAAUUAUUGGGCGUAAAGCGCGCGUAGGCGGUUUUUUAAGUCUGAUGUGAAAGCCCACGGCUCAACCGUGGGGAGUCAUUGGAAACUGGAAAACUUGAGUGCAGAAGAGGAAAGUGGAAUUCCAUGUGUAGCAGUGAAAUGCGCAGAGAUAUGGAGGAAAACCAGUGGCGAAGGCGACUUUCUGGUCUGUAACUGACGCUGAUGUGCGAAAGCGUGGGGAUCAAACAGG
rnacentral:rRNA from 1 species